rnacentral:tRNA from 1 species
GGAGGCGUGGCAGAGUGGCCGAUCGCGGCGGUUUUGAAAACCGCUGUGCCGCAAGGCACCGGGGGUUCGAAUCCCUCCGCCUCCGCCC